AUAAACCUGCCUUCUUACAUGCCCCCUGCAUAUGUAUAAGGAAAAUAUUUUCUGUAAUCAGGGGGCAUGUAAGGAGGCAGGUUUAU